rnacentral:pre_miRNA from 1 species
GUUCUACUCCCUCCGUCCGGAAAUACUUGUCAUCAAAAUGGAUAAAAGGAGGUGUAUCUAGACGUAUUUUAGUUCUAGAUACAUCUUUUUUUAUCCAUUUUGAUGACAAGUAUUUUCGGACGGAGGGAGUAUUAC